UUGUGCCUACGGGAGGCAGCAGUGAGGAAUAUUGGUCAAUGGACGCAAGCCUGAACCAGCCAAGUCGCGUGAGGGAUGACGGUCCUACGGAUUGUAAACCUCUUUUGCCGGGGAGCAAGCGUGCGUUCGUGAACGCGCGUCGAGAGUACCCGGAGAAAAAGCAUCGGCUAACUCCGUGCCAGCAGCCGCGGUAAUACGGAGGAUGCGAGCGUUAUCCGGAUUUAUUGGGUUUAAAGGGUGCGUAGGCGGGAUGCCAAGUCAGCGGGAAAAAUGCGGUGCUCAACGCCGUCGAGCCGUUGAAAAUG
rnacentral:rRNA from 1 species